rnacentral:rRNA from 1 species
GACGAACCGAGCGAACGUUGUUCGGAAUCACUGGGCUUAAAGGGCGCGUAGGCGGGCUGUCAAGUCUGGGGUGAAAUCCCGCGGCUCAACCGUGGAACUGCCUUAGAUACUGACGGCCUCGAGGGAGGUAGGGGCGAGCGGAACUCUCAGUGGAGCGGUGAAGUGCGUUGAUAUUGGGAGGAACUCCGGUGGCGAAAGCGGCUCGCUGGACCUUUUCUGACGCUGAGGCGCGAAAGCUAGGGGAGCAAACGGG